CUCCGUUGCUCGGAUCCAUGACUUUUUCUUCCAUCUUGUGAAGUUGUGUGCAUUCAUUUCUCUAUCAACAGCUCCUUGUUUUACCCUGUGUCAUAAAGUUAAGUUACGCUACGGACAGUCCUUGUUUGUGAGAUGAAUUAAGGAAUUUGCCCGGAGUUUUACGUCGACUCAGAAGGUAAAAACGCGAGUUGCUCUGAACUUAUUGAGGGAUGGACGAGACACGACAAAAUCUUUCUUGUACUGUUACACCUGAUGUAAGGUUCUCUGACAUUCUGCUUCCAGAACAUGCCAAGACGCAGGAGACUGUUUACCGGCCGAGCCACGCUGGUCCCUCCGCCCGCCCGAACGGGCCCGCAUUAGUCGGGUGCCGCCGGUCGGGCACGGUGGGGACUAGUGGCAGCGGUUCGGUGCCAGCUGCUCGGGGUCGGAGGUGGUUCUGGUCUGCACUUCAUGACGUGAAUUCAAACAACAUGCUGUUUACAGUCAUAACGUUUUUUCUUUACAUUUAUUUCUUCCAGGGGGUCAAAAACCCACCAUCGAUAUCAAGGUUUGAAAUAAACAACACUUUCUCUGCUACUUUUAAGCUGAAUAAAUCUCUUGAGCCUAUGGUUAACCUCUCUGACAAACAGGUUGUGCUCAACCCUUUGGUUCCUGAUGCUUCUUCUCUGUCAUCCAUGUUAAAGGCUGACCAUCUCUCCAGCAUGGGUGUGAAAUCUUCAGGCUGUGAUCCACCGCUUCAGUCAGGGGUCUGCUUUACUCGUCAGUCCGCCUCAUGCACAAACCGGCUUGUUUAUCGGGGCGUGAUGGAAACGACAGCCGCCGUGAAACACUUGUGGUCUCCGGACGGAGCAACCUUACCAUUUGCAGGGUUUGUGCCCGGACAUCUUGACCUUUCUGUGAAUGACCUUGUCACUUUUCAGUUUGUGACCUCUGCUAAUACGGUGGCCAAUUCUUUUCUCCUUUCACAGGGGUGUGACUUUGUCUCUGGCCUCUGUGCUCUAUUUCCUGUGAUUUCUCUUUCAGGUGACCACGACGGCGCAGGAAAACCUGCGGUUUCCAGCAGUCCAGUGGUCAGUGCCGAUGUUGAGGAAGCCUCAGUGGUUACUGUGCACACCUCUCUCACAGGCUCGGGAAGGCCACCCGGCCCGGGAGGUGCAGGUGGGUGCAGUGAUGCCCUGCUCGGGGCCCCGCCUGACAAAGGGGGGGUGCCGAGUGGCACUGAGUUUUCCGUUGCGGACUUCAACCUGUUCGGGGGAAACCCUCCUCCGAGCGGGCGGGUCAUUGCAGGAAUCGACACUGACCUUCCACCAAUUCAGCUGACAACAUUGACCUCCGACCCGGAGUUAGGUGCUGCACCUUCUACGGGGCGGAGUUCUAGUCAGUCUGUAACUACUCUGGUUAAACCGGGUUUUUCUGAUUCUGUGUGGGAACCUCCAUCAUUCUUGGGAAUAAAGUAUUCUUGGCUUCAGUUUUCAGGGCAGAACAUGUUGCUUUCGAUAGUGUCAUGUCUGUAUCUGAUUCUAAACAUGGCUAGGUUUGCUUUGACACCCGUGACACAACCAUCCUUGGAUCACUCCUUUUCAGAACCUCAAAGUCCAACACCUCCAGGUCUUUGGACAUCUGAACACCUACUCUUUCAGCACGAUCCAGGUGACAAUGUGCAUCUUCUUGGUAGUAGGGCUUUUAAGAGCUUAAGAACUGUUCUUUGUUAUGCUUCUCCUGUCUCACAGACACGGCAUAAGUUUGAGAAACAAAAGGGGGGUGGGGAGCCUCCUCCUGCUUUGCGAGCAUCAUUUUCGCAUUUCCAGUUCACUACUAUUUCUGGUCACAACAAAGUCGCCUCCGUAAAGCUGCAACCCAACUUUGAGCAGGUAAAAUCAGGUUCUGAUCUAACAAUUAUACCAUCAGCUUCGCUCGAGUUCCGGACGGAACCCUCAGGUAAAUUCAAACAAGUUUCCCUGUGGGUUCGUAACACAAGAUACAAACAGUUUGAUAACCAAAUCGCUUAUGAGCCUGCUCCCACAGAUACGUCCAAACUCGUGUCUCUGUGGGUCCGCAAUACCAGAUUCAAAACUCUAUUCUGACCAACUCUAUUCUGACCGGAUUCUUUUCCACUAACUGGUGGACCGUUACAAAUUCUCUCGUUUGUGGGAUGAAUUUUUAACAAAUGUGAUAUCCUUUGAAUUUUUUUUCAGGUUGCCUGCCUCCAGCCAGGACACCUGCUACUAACUCACAUUUUUAGGGAUUACUAACCUACUGAUUUACAUUUUUAGAAUUGAUUUACAUCUCUAUCUUUUUAUUAGUGCUUUGUGUAGCAUGAUUAUGUUUGAUUACAAAUUUAAUUUUAUUUUGUUACUAUUUCCCUUAAAGGCACAGUCCGCAGGAUGACGCCGUCAGGGUGAGGAGGAGGAGAUUUUUAAAUUCGAACGGCUGUUGCUCACUCCCCCGCCCUUCCUGAAAGAGCCGAAAGCCACACCUCCCAAUGUGCACGCGCAGGAAAAGCAGAGUCAACAUCGGAGCAUUGCUUCUUGUAAUAGAGCUGAGCUAGUGUUAGCAAUGGAGUUAUCUGAGAGUUCAGUGAUUGAGGAAUCCUCUGUGGAAGAGUUUGAACCUCCUAUUGCAUCCUCAAGACGUGGUGCAAAAAGGAGAUGCCCACCAUCAUCUCAAAGCCAUGGUGCAUCCAGAGGCCGUGGUGUGUCUAGAGGCUGCGGUGCAUCCAGAGGCCGAAGAAGUGUGAGACACUCAGCUGAGGACCUUGGAGAUGAAGAUCUCUCUCGAGUUCGGAAUCUUUGUUCCGAGCUAAUAGACUUUGAACGUGUAAGCAUAACUGUUGCUGUAGCAUCUCUUUCCACUUUUGUAGCAACACAUACAGAACCUGAACCCUCAGCAGGCUAUUUACAUCCUUACCAUGGUGCUGGACAGACAUUGGUGUUCUCUUUGAUGUACUUGCCCUCUCUGGUCCACCUGCCACAACACCUCCAACACCCAAUCAACCUUCAUGGUGUGUAUGCUCCCACUGCAGAGAUAUGCCAACUGAUUUGGAAAAGAAAUGCUGCCAACAGCCUCCCCAGACAUGUAUUUCAACUGUACCACACAUGGAGGAGUUUAUUCUGCAAAAUUCCCUGACCCCAAUGGUAACUACACUGGUUUUAUUCCAAGACGAUUGUAAAUAAAUGUAUAUAUUUGAUAUUUUACAUAAGUUUGUUUUUAUAUAUUUUUGUUUGAUGCUCUAAUAAAGUGUUCUAAAGCACAA